rnacentral:lncRNA from 10 species
AGUAGCUGGGACUACAGGUGCGUGCCACGACACCCAGCUAAUUUUUGGUAGAGACAGGGUUUCACCGUGUUGGCCAGGAUGGUCUGGAUCUCUUGACCUCAUGAUCUGCCUGCCUCGGCCUCCCAAAUUCUGGGAUUACAGGUGUGAGCCACCGUGUCCAGCCCCUUUUUCAGUUUUCUAUCUGGACAGGCAAGGAAAAAAAAGGCUGAGAGCCUAUUGGGACCCUCUGAGCAGGAGGUGCACGUCAUAAUCUCCAUGGCCUCUUGGGCAAAGCGACACUGGGGCUGGCCCUCCCAAGGAUCUGGCCUGUUUCUUGAAAUCAGGGUUGGUGAAUCCAGAAGGACAAGCACACAUGUCAAAUCGAAUGUUUCUGCGGGACACCUUGUGUGUGUUUCUGCAACGCCGCAUUGUGGGUUUGGAGGGUCACCCAACAGCAGCGUUGGUGUGAGCUGAAUCCUCCGGUGUGUGUUAUAGCCGUCUGUGUUUCCGCACGCGUCUGCAAGCUGUAUUAUGUCUGCGUUUUCACUUCCACUUUAUUUUUAGGAAAGUAUCAUAUUGCAGAGAAUUUAGAAAUGUAGACGUAUGAGGAAUGGAGUUUUCCCUAUAUCGUGUUUCAUGUUAAAAAAUAGAAAUUUAAAAAAUUAGCUGAAUUCUUAAUGUUGCAUUUAGCUAACACAUUUCUUUCAAGAACCUCAAAGCUCAAUGCCAGUAUUUAAAUAUAGGUUUUUUUUUUUUUAAUCACUUAGUAAAGUGUGAAUGCA